rnacentral:rRNA from 1 species
AGAGUUUGAUCCUGGCUCAGGAUGAACGCUGGCGGCGUGCUUAACACAUGCAAGUCGAACGAUGAUCCCAGCUUGCUGGGGGAUUAGCGGCGAACGGGUGAGUAACACGUGAGUAACCUGCCCUUAACUCUGGGAUAAGCCUGGGAAACUGGGUCUAAUACCGGAUAUGACUCCUCAUCGCAUGGUGGGGGGUGGAAAGCUUUAUUGUGGUUUUGGAUGGACUCGCGGCCUAUCAGCUUGUUGGUGAGGUAAUGGCUCACCAAGGCGACGACGGGUAGCCGGCCUGAGAGGGUGACCGGCCACACUGGGACUGAGACACGGCCCAGACUCCUACGGGAGGCAGCAGUGGGGAAUAUUGCACAAUGGGCGAAAGCCUGAUGCAGCGACGCCGCGUGAGGGAUGACGGCCUUCGGGUUGUAAACCUCUUUCAGUAGGGAAGAAGCGAAAGUGACGGUACCUGCAGAAGAAGCGCCGGCUAACUACGUGCCAGCAGCCGCGGUAAUACGUAGGGCGCAAGCGUUAUCCGGAAUUAUUGGGCGUAAAGAGCUCGUAGGCGGUUUGUCGCGUCUGCCGUGAAAGUCCGGGGCUCAACUCCGGAUCUGCGGUGGGUACGGGCAGACUAGAGUGAUGUAGGGGAGACUGGAAUUCCUGGUGUAGCGGUGAAAUGCGCAGAUAUCAGGAGGAACACCGAUGGCGAAGGCAGGUCUCUGGGCAUUAACUGACGCUGAGGAGCGAAAGCAUGGGGAGCGAACAGGAUUAGAUACCCCCGUAGUCC